UUAGGACAUUAUUUAACAUACAUUAAUUGUACCAAUAUAGACAUGGCCUGCAUCCUUUCAGUAUUUGUGUUUUAACUGGGUUUUGGACAUUUAAUCAUCUUUUUUCCAAAUGGUACCGAUUAUUACUAAGUCGGUGUACAAAUAAUGAAUAUAGAGAUGUGAAUUGCAACUGGAGCUCUCAGGUGAUCAAUUUGCAUGACUGGUGUUUCCUGGUAAUAUUCCAAUUUUAUUACUAUUUGUCUCUUUCUCUAAAAUGUAUGCAAGGCCUUUACUAAAAAUGAUUCUGACAUCCUACAGGCAUUUUAUAUUUGGAUUGGAAAAAACUGUGAUGACAACUUCAUAAAAGAUGUCCUUGGAUACCCAAACUAUGCGUCAGUACCACAGAAAAUGACACAACUCCCUGAGGUAGUUGCACUUACUUCAGAAAGGACGUGGUCUUUCAUAGCCUGGCUGAGGGAACAACAGACCUUUCAGCCCAGUUCUUCAAGUAAUAAAAGAUGAAACUCCUGCCAAGACAGAGUUUUUUCCGCAUUUAAUUGAAGAUCGGAGAGAAGCAGCUUUCUCUUAUUAUUAAUUCUUACUUCAUAUUCAACAGCAGAUUUGUAGAUGAGCAAGGAGUAAACUAGAAGAAAAAUCCGGACUCCAGAUAGAAGCAUUGGCUGAGAAAAGUAUAUAGAAAGUUACAAAAGUGGAUGUUUGUUCAUCACAAUGUACAGUAAUCGACACUGAUUUGGAAACUUUACAGCUAAAGGAGGAGAUGUAUACAUUUCCAGAAGAGUUUUGCACAUUUAUUUCAGUCUAAAAGUGCUAGGAAUGAUGAAGCUGUUUUCAGUAGUAAACUAAAUUGGUUUAUCCACGUGCGGCAGCAUGGUGCUCUGUUUAUUGCAAGCUGGUGAUUCUAUGUAGCUAUGUGGGAUGAUAUUUCUUAAUGAAAUAUACAAUUAGGUAAAGCCUUUUUUUCUUACGUUUAUUAUGGUAGCCCUUCAAAAUUCAAAUUCUUAACAGAGAUGUCAAAGGGCAGUGCUGUAUGUUGGUUGUUUAUAUGAAUUUCUUCUUAAAAGAAACUAUUCAUUCCCUUUGAAAGUUGUAGAAUUUCACUAAAGUAAAUGAAUUGUGGAAAUAAAAUAUAUAAUGUACAUAAGUAUUACAUUUGUAAAGAAAAUGUAAAAAUGUAACUAAAAAAAAGACUUAGCUCAGUGUGCUGAAUUGUUGAGUGCUCAAUGAUGAAUUGUUUCAGUCCCAAGCUAGACAGUGAAGUUGACUAUUAUAACAUGCUUAA